GUCAUGUUUUUUCUAUUUUUAUCUUUUCAUUUUUCUUUUUCCUUUCUGUGGGGUUCAUUUAGAAGACCUUUGUGGGAGUAGCAGACCUCGUCAGGUGACGAAUUCAAUAUGUUCCCGUUUUUUAUAUAUAUGUUUUAACUCAAGCUCAAGUUCCCUCAACCCGUGACGUCGAUCGUCGCCAACGUCACUCCUGGUGGGUAUACGCGGGAGGUUAUGUUUGCCUCGCAUCCCACGCGUACACCUUUUACCGGAAGUUGGGAAAUCCGCUUUCCCCGCUAUAUGCACGUGGAGAUGAAACCUUUCGGGACUUCCCGUGUUACGUCUUCCCUCUGCGACCGUCGUAUAUAAUGUACACCAAAGUAUUUGUCUCCUACUGAGGUAUAUCAAGUCGUCCGCUAUUUGGAAACUUCCUCGAGCGUGUGUCCAUCUGCAGCCUCUCAGCGACCGACCCAGUAUUCUUCCAGCCAUGAAUGCCACUGCCUUCCUCGCCCUUUGCGUCUUGCUUACUGGCGCAGUAGCAGCUGCGGUUGACCUGUACGGCGUACCAAACCCAUACUUCGACAUUGGU